CCGGGGACGAGGAGCUGGCAUCAGGCACACCAGAUGGCCCAAGACGCCUUGCUCAGCCACACCCCCAAGGGAAUUCAGCAGUAAUAAACAUUAAGCCAUAAGUGAAAACUUGACUUAGUUAGGGUUAAGAGGGCCGGUAAAAUUCGUGCCAGCCACCGCGGUUAUACGAAAGACCCUAGUUUAUAGGCACGGCGUAAAGGGUGGUUAUGGGACAGACAAAAUAAAGCUAAAGACCCCCAGAGCCGUCAUACGCCCACGGGGGCACGAAACCCAAAUACGAAAGUAGCUUUACCAAACAAAUGCCCGACCCCACGAAAGCUGAGAAACAAACUGGGAUUAGAUACCCCACUAUGCCCAGCCUUAAACCUAGAUGAAAACUUACAAAACCAUCCGCCCGGGGACUACAAGCACAGCUUAAAACCCAAAGGACUUGGCGGUGCCUCAGACCCACCUAGAGGAGCCUGUUCUAGAACCGAUAACCCCCGUUAAACCUCACCACCUCUUGUUUUCCCCGCCUAUAUACCGCCGUCGUCAGCUUACCCUGUGAAGGUCCAACAGUAAGCAAAAUGGGCCC
rnacentral:rRNA from 1 species